UGGGGAAUAUUGCACAAUGGGGGAAACCCUGAUGCAGCGACGCCGCGUGAACGAAGAAGGUAUUCGUAUCGUAAAGUUCUGUCCUAUGGGAAGAUAAUGACAGUACCAUAGAAGAAAGCUCCGGCUAAAUACGUGCCAGCAGCCGCGGUAAUACGUAUGGAGCGAGCGUUGUCCGGAAUUAUUGGGCGUACAGGGUACGCAGGCGGUUUAAUAAGUCGAAUGUUAAAGAUCGGGGCUCAACCCCGCAAAGCAUUGGAAACUGAUAAACUUGAGUAGUGGAGAGGAAAGUGGAAUUCCUAGUGUAGUGGUGAAAUACGUAAAUAUUAGGAGGAAUACCAGUAGCGAAGGCGACUUUCUGGACACAAACUGACGCUGAGGUACGAAAGCGUGGGGAGCAAACAGG
rnacentral:rRNA from 1 species